UGGAUUUUUAGCAUCUCCAUUUAUAUUAUAGAAAAUAACUCUUUGUGGAAUGAAGCUAGCUUAGCUGGGUCUUCCCCUUAGGAUCUCUGGAGGCUGAAAUCAAGGUGUUGCCUGAGGCUGAGAUCUCAUCUCACGCUCAGGGUCCUCUUCAAAGCUCCCUGGUUGUUGACAGAAUUCACUGCCUUGCAAUUGUAUGGUUGUUGACAGAAUUCACUGCCUUGCACUUGUAUGACAUGCCCUCAGCCCUUAGGGGCUACCCAGUGUUCCCUACCAGGUGGCCUUCUCCUUAGCAUAGCAGUUUGUUUU
rnacentral:lncRNA from 1 species